AGCGAUACUGACGUGCAAAUCGUUCGUCUGACUUGGGUAUAGGGGCGAAAGACUAAUCGAACCAUCUAGUAGCUGGUUCCCUCCGAAGUUUCCCUCAGGAUAGCUGGAGCCUAUUACGAGUUCUAUCAGGUAAAGCCAAUGAUUAGAGGCAUUGGGGACGCAACGUCCUCGACCUAUUCUCAAACUUUAAAUAGGUAGGAUGGCUCGGCUG
rfam:Hordeum vulgare subsp. vulgare, WGS project CAJW01000000 data, contig: morex_contig_970362